GACCGGUUAGCUCAAUGGGUAGAGCGUGAGGACACUUAUCGAUACGUGUACCCGUGCUUAUUCCGUAUGGCUACGUACCAUACGGAAGCCAGUGUACACACAACCCACCCUCAAGAUGCGGGUUCGGACCCCGCACUGGGCA